rnacentral:rRNA from 1 species
GAUGAACGCUGGCGGCGUGCCUAAUACAUGCAAGUCGAGCGAACAGACGAGGAGCUUGCUCCUCUGACGUUAGCGGCGGACGGGUGAGUAACACGUGGAUAACCUACCUAUAAGACUGGGAUAACUUCGGGAAACCGGAGCUAAUACCGGAUAAUAUAUUGAACCGCAUGGUUCAAUAGUGAAAGACGGUUUUGCUGUCACUUAUAGAUGGAUCCGCGCCGCAUUAGCUAGUUGGUAAGGUAACGGCUUACCAAGGCGACGAUGCGUAGCCGACCUGAGAGGGUGAUCGGCCACACUGGAACUGAGACACGGUCCAGACUCCUACGGGAGGCAGCAGUAGGGAAUCUUCCGCAAUGGGCGAUAGCCUGACGGAGCAACGCCGCGUGAGUGAUGAAGGUCUUCGGAUCGUAAAACUCUGUUAUUAGGGAAGAACAAAUGUGUAAGUAACUAUGCACGUCUUGACGGUACCUAAUCAGAAAGCCACGGCUAACUACGUG